rnacentral:rRNA from 1 species
ACUCCUACGGGAGGCAGCAGUGGGGAAUAUUGCACAAUGGGCGCAAGCCUGAUGCAGCCAUGCCGCGUGUAUGAAGAAGGCCUUCGGGUUGUAAAGUACUUUCAGCAGUGAGGAAGGCGGAGUCGUUAAUAGCGGCCUCGUUUGACGUUAGCUGCAGAAGAAGCACCGGCUAACUCCCGUGCCAGCAGCCGCGGUAAUACGGAGGGUGCGAGCGUUAAUCGGAAUUACUGGGCGUAAAGCGCAUGCAGGUGGUUUGUUAAGUCAGAUGUGAAAGCCCGGGGCUCAACCUCGGAAUUGCAUUUGAAACUGGCAGACUAGAGUACUGUAGAGGGGGGUAGAAUUUCAGGUGUAGCGGUGAAAUGCGUAGAGAUCUGAAGGAAUACCGGUGGCGAAGGCGGCCCCCUGGACAGAUACUGACACUCAGAUGCGAAAGCGUGGGGAGCAAACAGGAUUAGAUACCCUGGUAGCACAGAG